rnacentral:tRNA from 1 species
GCUGUGAUGGCCGAGUGGUUGAGGCGUUGGAUUUGGAAUCCAGUGGGGUUUCCCAGUGUAUGUUUGAACCCUGCUCACAGCA